rnacentral:rRNA from 1 species
UACGUAGGGCGCGAGCGUUGUCCGGAAUCAUUGGGCGUAAAGCGCGCGUAGGCGGCCCUGUAAGUCCGUUGUGAAAGUCAAAGGCUCAACCUUUGAAUGCCGAUGGAUACUGCAGGGCUAGAGUCCGGAAGAGGCAAGUGGAAUUCCUGGUGUAGCGGUGGAAUGCGCAGAUAUCAGGAGGAACACCAACGGCGAAGGCAGCUUGCUGGGACGGUACUGACGCUAAGGCGCGAAAGCGUGGGGAGCGAACAGG